rnacentral:rRNA from 1 species
GAUGAACGCUAGCGGGAGGCCUAACACAUGCAAGUCGAACGGGAUUGGUAGCAAUACCAUGAGAGUGGCGCACGGGUGAGUAACGCGUAUGCAACCUGCCUUUAACUGGGGGAUAGCCCGGAGAAAUUCGGAUUAAUACCGCAUAAAAUUACGGACUGGCAUCGGUUAGUAAUUAAAACUCAGGUGGUUAAAGAUGGGCAUGCGUGACAUUAGCUAGUUGGUAAGGUAACGGCUUACCAAGGCUACGAUGUCUAGGGGUUCUGAGAGGAUGAUCCCCCAACUGGUACUGAGACACGGACCAGACUCCUACGGGAGGCAGCAGUAAGGAAUAUUGGACAAUGGUCGCAAGACUGAUCCAGCCAUGCCGCGUGCAGGAUGAACGAUCUAUGAUCUGUAAACUGCUUUUGUUCGGGAAUAAACCCCUUCACGUGUGGAGGGCUGAAUGUACCGAAAGAAUAAGGGUCGCUAACUUCGUGCCAGCAGCCG